rnacentral:rRNA from 1 species
CGAGCGGACAGAUGGGAGCUUGCUCCCUGAAGUCAGCGGCGGACGGGUGAGUAACACGUGGGCAACCUGCCUGUAAGACUGGGAUAACUCCGGGAAACCGGGGCUAAUACCGGAUAAUUCUUUCCCUCACAUGAGGGAAAGCUGAAAGAUGGUUUCGGCUAUCACUUACAGAUGGGCCCGCGGCGCAUUAGCUAGUUGGUGAGGUAACGGCUCACCAAGGCAACGAUGCGUAGCCGACCUGAGAGGGUGAUCGGCCACACUGGGACUGAGACACGGCCCAGACUCCUACGGGAGGCAGCAGUAGGGAAUCUUCCGCAAUGGACGAAAGUCUGACGGAGCAACGCCGCGUGAGUGAUGAAGGUUUUCGGAUCGUAAAACUCUGUUGUUAGGGAAGAACAAGUACCGGAGUAACUGCCGGUACCUUGACGGUACCUAACCAGAAAGCCACGGCUAACUACGUGCCAGCAGCCGCGGUAAUACGUAGGUGGCAAGCGUUGUCCGGAAUUAUUGGGCGUAAAGCGCGCGCAGGCGGUUCCUUAAGUCUGAUGUGAAAGCCCCCGGCUCAACCGGGGAGGGUCAUUGGAAACUGGGGAACUUGAGUGCAGAAGAGAAGAGUGGAAUUCCACGUGUAGCGGUGAAAUGCGUAGAGAUGUGGAGGAACACCAGUGGCGAAGGCGACUCUUUGGUCUGUAACUGACGCUGAGGCGCGAAAGCGUGGGGAGCAAACAGGAUUAGAUACCCUGGUAGUCCACGCCGUAAACGAUGAGUGCUAAGUGUUAGAGGGNUUCCGCCCUUUAGUGCUGCAGCAAACGCAUUAAGCACUCCGCCUGGGGAGUACGGCCCGCAAGGCUGAAACUCAAAGGAAUUGACGGGGGCCCGCACAAGCGG